rnacentral:tRNA from 1 species
GGUGGCAUAGAUCAGUGGAAGAACACUUGCCUAACAUGAAUAAGACACUGGGUUCAAUUUCCAGUACCAUUC